CGUUGGAGGGGUCUGGUUGGCACUGUUGAAGUCCGGUUGGUGCUGUUGAAGGUUGAUGGCUAGAGAGGUACGGCAGAUAUUGGAGACAGUCGGUCACUGUAGAAAUUCGACUGCUGGAGCCCGUCCGUUGUAGAAGUUCGUCUAAAAUUUAUCCACUGUAGAAGUUCGGAUGGAGUCCAAUUCUUGUAGGAGUCCAAAAGGAGGCUGCUUACU
rnacentral:lncRNA from 1 species